AAACGGAGGAAAAGAAACCAACCGGGAUUGCCUUAGUAACGGCGAGUGAAGCGGCAAAAGCUCAAAUUUGAAAUCUGGUACCUUCGGUGCCCGAGUUGUAAUUUGGAGAGGGCAACUUUGGGGCCGUUCCUUGUCUAUGUUCCUUGGAACAGGACGUCAUAGAGGGUGAGAAUCCCGUGUGGCGAGGAGUGCGGUUCUUUGUAAAGUGCCUUCGAAGAGUCGAGUUGUUUGGGAAUGCAGCUCUAAGUGGGUGGUAAAUUCCAUCUAAAGCUAAAUAUUGGCGAGAGACCGAUAGCGAACAAGUACAGUGAUGGAAAGAUGAAAAGAACUUUGAAAAGAGAGUGAAAAAGUACGUGAAAUUGUUGAAAGGGAAGGGCAUUUGAUCAGACAUGGUGUUUUGUGCCCUCUGCUCCUUGUGGGUAGGGGAAUCUCGCAUUUCACUGGGCCAGCAUCAGUUUUGGUGGCAGGAUAAAUCCAUAGGAAUGUAGCUUGCCUCGGUAAGUAUUAUAGCCUGUGGGAAUACUGCCAGCUGGGACUGAGGACUGCGACGUAAGUCAAGGAUGCUGGCAUAAUGGUUAUAUGCCGCCCGUCUUG
rnacentral:rRNA from 1 species